rnacentral:lncRNA from 1 species
CCCCUUUCUUUCUUCCUACUUCAUUUUGUUCAAAAGUUUGCUUCUACGUCUGUGAGUUGGAUAGUCAAGCUGAUGCUUGGUAGUCUUGUUCAAAGGCUGUACAAUCUUGUAUGCUUGAACCAAAAUUUGGAAACAAAGUUUGAUGUGUGAAUGAAUUUUCAAAUGGUGAUGCUAAGCAUGUUAGUGGCCAUGAUGAGUCGGAACCAGAUUUGCUAAGUUGAAACUAAAGGCCGCUGAUAUGCAUUAAUAUUGUGUUUAAUUUGGUUGAAACUAAAGGUUCACGGUUGCUGUUUUCUUGUAUAUUCUUUAUCCAAUGAUAGGUUCCUUUUUCCUUGAAUUUUAUAGCUUAGUUGAGUUUCUUUUCAGUCACUACGUUGGGAAUUGAGUUCAUGGUAUGGUCAGUUUUUUGUUCAACUCAUGCAAUGCCUACCAUUGGUGAAUUCCGACAUGUGGUAUGCUUUCAAAUGGGCUGCCCGUUCUUAUUUUAAAACUCCUUGUACAGACAUUAGAAGUUGUGGAUGAUUUUCCUAGCAUCUUGUUGCUUCAUGGUCCAGGUUUUGGGACGUUGUAAUUGAAUGUUUUGGUUUGGUGUUUGAGCAAAGAUUAAGCAUUUCUUCUGUUCUUCUUGUUUU